CAAAUUUUAAUACCUCAUUAUACACGUAGCAGCAGCUCAUCUUCUAUCUGCCACUUUUCAAUCUCCUUCCCACACGUUUCGGACAUGCACAAGUUUUUGCAGAAAUUUGCCAACGCACGACCACUUCUAUUUCUUAUUUUCUUUUUCUUCCCCUGCCUCGGCUUCUCCUUUCUAGUUCCUUCUUUUCCUUUCUUUUAAGAACACAACCGAGAGGAAGAGAUGUGGGAGAGACUGAAAGAGGGAGAAGAAAGAGAGAGCCAGUGGGUGAGCCACCGGUUGGGGCGGACGGGAACGUUGGGCCGGUAGGCCACGGCUUGGCUUCGGCAAGGCCGCGGGGAGUCUGAUUUUUGGUACUUUCUCAGUACCCAAACCAAGAGGAAACCGUUUUAGGUAGAUGUAACAAAGAAUCCACUCAAGAUCGCCAGGAUGCAAUAAUCAGAGUCAUUUUUGGUAAUGGCAUAGACCUCGCUAAGAGCAAUAGAUUGUUGGGGGACUGAUGUAACCUUUGUUUUGUACAGUAUGUUUUCCUUUUGAUAUUUAUAGCAUUGUAAAGAGCUACUUUCAUGUUCAUAUAAUUUAAAUAGAAGAUGAUUAAGAUCUCCGUUUAAAA